CACCUUUUCCUUGAACCUUGGUGUAUAUAACGGUAAAUCAACACAAAUGUAUGCGUUUGCACAUAAAUGCUUGGAACUACUUUGAUAAGUUUCUUUUAGUCCUAAGUACUUGAUAAAAGAAUAAGUUUCUUUUGGUUUUGACCUUCCGGUGCACGAAGCAUCCUGCGUUCAGGCAGGAUCUAGGGAAGAGCUGCACUCUGAGGGGUCCAAUGUAGGCAUACUACUCUGACACAUAGGUGUCGUGGAAGUAUCCACAGUACAUGGAAUUGAACCAUUAGAAAUGCCAAUAAUUCUGAGUAAUAUGCUUUCUUUCCUGAUCUAGAUCUGAUAAACUGUGUGGUUGAACCAUGCUCUAAAUAUAUGCUCUCUCCUUUUUGGAGGUGCACUCGCUUACAGAUAUAUGUUGGUUAUGGAAAUCCAGAAUUAAAUAUUGUGUGUAUCUCCUCCUGCGAGGACUCUGUUAUUAUAUGCUGAUAUCUCCUAUUCAGGGAAGCUCCUCUGUCUCUGUAGUUCUGUGCUUCUCUUACGAAAGCAGCUCUCGAAUUACCUGCAUUGUGCUUGGCUGGACGCGAACUAGGAGGGUCCAGUACUCCAGUCUAUUUUAUUAGAUUAAGUUCUUCCAUCAUUCAAUGACACCUGAACCUUCUACUCAAGUGACCAGCGAUCUUUAUUAAGAGCCUCCAUGCACAAUUGUUUUGGACCUUGUUUCAAUCAUCUACUGGUCUUAACAGUUGGUUGUCUGGAGAAGCAUGUGACAGAUAAGCCGGAUUUUUGAGAAAAAGUUCCACCCUGCAGGAUUCCCGAUAAAAAAAGUUAUGAGAUCGUGAGAUGGACUUCAUCAAAUCUGAAGCUUGUAUGCAUAUAUUUGAUGUUUCUUAACUAUCCAAAUUUGAGUGGUGAUCAG